rnacentral:SRP_RNA from 1 species
GCCAGGUGUGGUGGCACAUGCCUGUAGUCCCAGCUACUCGGGAGGCUGAGGCUGGAGGAUCUCUUGAGCCCAGGAGUUCUGGGCUGUAGUGCGCUAUGCCAAUCGGGUGUCCGCACUAAGUUCGGCAUCAAUAUGGUGACCUCCCGGGAGCAGGGGACCACCAGGUUGCCUAAGGAUGGGUGAAUUGGCCCAGGUCGGAAACAGAGCAGGUCAAAACUCCCGUGCUGAUCAGUAGUGGGAUCGCGCCUGUGAAUAGCCACUGCACUCCAGCCUGGGCAACAUAGCAAGACCCCGUCUCU